AUUGAACGCUGGCGGCAUGCCUUACACAUGCAAGUCGAACGGCAGCGGACCUUCGGGUGCCGGCGAGUGGCGAACGGGUGAGUAAUAUAUCGGAACGUACCUUUCAGUGGGGGAUAACGUAGCGAAAGUUACGCUAAUACCGCAUAUUCUGUGAGCAGGAAAGCAGGGGAUCGCAAGACCUUGCGCUGAUUGAGCGGCCGAUAUCAGAUUAGCUAGUUGGUGAGGUAAAGGCUCACCAAGGCGACGAUCUGUAGCGGGUCUGAGAGGAUGAUCCGCCACACUGGAACUGAGACACGGUCCAGACUCCUACGGGAGGCAGCAGUGGGGAAUUUUGGACAAUGGCGCAAGCCUGAUCCAGCCAUGCCGCGUGAGUGAAGAAGGCCUGGUGUAAG
rnacentral:rRNA from 1 species